rnacentral:rRNA from 1 species
UACGGGGGGGGCAAGCGUUGUUCGGAAUUACUGGGCGUAAAGGGCUCGUAGGCGGCCAACUAAGUCGGACGUGAAAUCCCUCGGCUUAACCGGGGAACUGCGUCCGAUACUGGAUGGCUUGAGUUCGGGAGAGGGAUGCGGAAUUCCAGGUGUAGCGGUGAAAUGCGUAGAUAUCAGGCAGAACACCUGGGGCGAAGGCGGCCAGCUGGGCCGUCCCUGACGCUGAGGCGCGAAGGCGUGGGGAGCGAACGGG